UACAGAGGGUGCAAGCGUUAAUCGGAAUUACUGGGCGUAAAGCGUGCGUAGUCGGUUAUCUAAGUCGGAUGUGAAAUCCCCGGGCUCAACCUGGGAAUUGCAUUCGAAACUGAAUAGCUAGAGUUCGGCAGAGGGAAGUGGAACUUCCGGUGUAGCGGUGAAAUGCGUAGAUAUCGGAAGGAACAUCAGUGGCGAAAGCGACUUCCUGGACCAGAACUGACGAUCAGGCACGAAAGCGUGGGGAGCAAACAGG
rnacentral:rRNA from 1 species